ACAUACUGAAGUAAGCCGUUGGGAGCUGGCCUGUUCAUGGGCUAUUUUUCUCUGAUGAUCUGCAUUUUUCUUCCUUUUAAAGUGAACCUUGACUCGUAUCAAACCUGUCAAAAGAACAGUUCAUCAACUGAGCUGAGAUUUGCUUUCCUUUUUCAAAACCCACCUGAGAUAUUGUAAUUCCCAAAUUUCUCUCUCUCAGCUACACGAGCAAGCAGCCGCUUUUUCACUUCAUCGAAGAAGGUAAGCGAUUUAUCUAUUUCGUCCGAUUGAUUUCUUGUUUCGUUUUCAGUGUUCGGGUAAAUUAUUGGCAUGCCUGACUUUUUGACCAUUACAUGAUUCAUAAAUUUCUAUUAAUUUUGAUUUUGAGUUGACUGGUUACUUUUAUAGGUUUGUUUACUUUGACUAGGUGACCAAUUUCUUGUAACUAAAUUUAUGACGUGAUGCAGGAAGCUCGGCAGGAUAUGAAAUGAGAAUCUUAUUAGUGGAAGGAUUGCCAGUAACAGAACCCAAAGAAAAUGAAACCAUUUCAAGGCAGCAG
rnacentral:lncRNA from 1 species